AGAUUGAACGCUGGCGGCAUGCCUAACACAUGCAAGUCGAGCGGCAGCGCGGGGGGCGACCCUGGCGGCGAGCGGCGGACAGGUGAGUAAGGCAUCGGAAUCUGCCCUGAUGGUGGGGGAUAACGGUAGGGAAACUUACGCUAAUACCGCAUACGACCGAGAGGUGAAAGCGGGGGACCGAAAGGCCUCGCGCAGCAGGAUGAGCCGAUGUCCGAUUAGCUGGUUGGUGGGGGUAACGGCCCACCAAGGCGACGAUCGGUAGCUGGUCUGAGAGGAUGAUCAGCCACACGUGGGACUGAGACACGGCCCAGACUCCGUACGGGAGGCAGC
rnacentral:rRNA from 1 species